UACAGAGGGUGCAAGCGUUGUUCGGAAUUAUUGGGCGUAAAGCGCGUGUAGGCGGCUUGUUAAGUCGGGUGUGAAAGCCCUCAGCUCAACUGAGGAAGUGCGCCCGAAACUGGCGAGCUUGAGUGUCGGAGAGGAUGGCGGAAUACCCCCAAGUAGAGGUGAAAUUCGUAGAUAUGGGGGUGGAACACCGGUGGCGAAGGCGGCCAUCUGGACGACAACUGACGCUGAGACGCGAAAGCGUGGGGAGCAAACAGG
rnacentral:rRNA from 1 species